rnacentral:rRNA from 1 species
AUUGAACGCUGGCGGCAUGCCUUACACAUGCAAGUCGAACGGUAACGGGCCUUCGGGUGCCGACGAGUGGCGAACGGGUGAGUAAUGCAUCGGAACGUACCUUUCAGUGGGGGAUAACGUAGCGAAAGUUACGCUAAUACCGCAUAUUCUGUGAGCAGGAAAGCAGGGGAUCGCAAGACCUUGCGCUGAUUGAGCGGCCGAUGUCAGAUUAGCUAGUUGGUGAGGUAAAGGCUCACCAAGGCGACGAUCUGUAGCGGGUCUGAGAGGAUGAUCAGCCACACUGGAACUGAGACACGGUCCAGACUCCUACGGGAGGCAGCAGUGGGGAAUAUUGGACAAUGGGCGGAAGCCUGAUCCAGCAAUGCCGCGUGUGUGAAGAAGGCCUUCGGGUUGUAAAGCACUUUUAUCAGGAACGAAAAGCGUUGGAUUAAUACUCUGACGUGCUGACGGUACCUGAGGAAUAAGCACCGGCUAACUUCGUG